rnacentral:rRNA from 1 species
UACGUAGGGUGCAAGCGUUGUCCGGAAUUAUUGGGCGUAAAGAGCUCGUAGGCGGUCUGUCGCGUCGGCUGUGAAAUCCCGAGGCUCAACCUCGGGUCUGCAGUCGAUACGGGCAAACUAGAGUGCGGUAGGGGAGACUGGAAUUCCUGGUGUAGCGGUGAAAUGCGCAGAUAUCAGGAGGAACACCGGUGGCGAAGGCGGAUCUCUGGGCCAUUACUGACGCUGAGGAGCGAAAGCGUGGGGAGCGAACAGG